rnacentral:lncRNA from 1 species
UUAGAUUAGAUGGAAUGGAAAGUGGGUAUGCAAAAAGGUCACCUAAAUUCUCAGUUACUCAUAUACUCAUCAUCAUCUUCUUGAAAUUCAGUUUUCUUUUUUUUUUUGAUUUAAAUUUUAACACAGCCCAUGUCAUUUUCCUUACAAGCUACAAUACAAAAGAAUAAAAGAAUCCAACAACCACCUCUCUCUCUUAGCUUGCCAUAAACGCCUUCAUGUUCUUUCUUUCUUUUUUAAUUUUUAUUUUUAAAUCUUAAUUCCUUUUCUUGCAUAAAUAGAUACAAAAUCCUUACAUCACCACUCAUUUCUCUUCUUAUUCUAACACCUCUUCUCUCUUCUUGUUGUUUCCUGACCAAGAAAACAGUAGCAAACCAUGUCUGCUGAUCUUGAUUUCC